rnacentral:rRNA from 2 species
GUGACCUCAAAUCAGGUAGGACUACCCGCUGAACUUAAGCAUAUCAAUAAGCGGAGGAAAAGAAACUAACAAGGAUUCCCCUAGUAACUGCGAGUGAAGCGGGAAAAGCUCAAAUUUAAAAUCUGGCAGUCUUACUGUCCGAGUUGUAAUCUAGAGAAGCAUUAUCCGCGUUGGACCGUGUACAAGUCUCCUGGAAUGGAGCGUCAUAGAGGGUGAGAAUCCCGUCUUUGACACGGACUGCCAAGGCUUUUGUGAUGUGCUCUCAAAGAGUCGAGUUGUUUGGGAAUGCAGCUCAAAAUGGGUGGUAAAUUCCAUCUAAAGCUAAAUAUUGGCGAGAGACCGAUAGCGAACAAGUACCGUGAGGGAAAGAUGAAAAGAACUUUGGAAAGAGAGUUAAACAGUACGUGAAAUUGCUGAAAGGGAAACGCUUGAAGUCAGUCGCGUUGAUCAGAGAUCAACCUUGCUUUUGCUUGGUGUACUUUCUGGUUUGACGGGUCAGCAUCAAUUUUGAUCAUUGGAAAAAGGUCAAGGGAAUGUGGCAUCUUCGGAUGUGUUUAUAGCCCUUGGUUGUAUGCAAUGGUUGGGAUUGAGGAACUCAGCACGCCGCAAGGCCGGGUUUAACCACGUACGUGCUAGAUGCUGC